CCUACGGGCGGCAGCAGGGAGGAAUAGUGGUCAAUGGACGAGAGUCUGAACCAGCCAAGUAGCGUGAAGGAUGACUGCCCGAUGGGUUGUAAACUUCGUUUAUAUGGGAAUAAAAUGUUCCACGUGUGGGAUUUUGUAUGUACCAUAUGAAUAAGGAUCGGCUAACUCCGUGCCAGCAGCCGCGGUAAUACGGAGGAUCCGAGCGUUAUCCGGAUUUAUUGGGUUUAAAGGGAGCGUAGGGGGAUUGUUAAGUCAGUUGUGAAAGUUUGCGGCUCAACCGUAAAAUUGCAGUUGAAACUGGCAGUCUUGAGUACAGUAGAGGUGGGCGGAAUUCGUUGUGUAGCGGUUAAAUGCUUAGAUCUCCCGAAGAACUCCGAUUGCGAAGGCAGUUCACUGGACUGCAACUGACACUGAGGCUCGAAAGUGUGGGUAUCAAACAGGAUUAGCUACCCCAGUAGUC
rnacentral:rRNA from 1 species